rnacentral:rRNA from 1 species
UACAGAGGGUGCAAACGUUGCUCGGAAUUAUUGGGCGUAAAGCGCGCGUAGGCGGCUUGUUAAGUUGGUCGUGAAAGCCCAUGGCUCAACCAUGGAAGUGCAACCAAAACUGGCAAGCUUGAGUUCUGAAGAGGAUGGCGGAAUUCCCAGUGUAGAGGUGAAAUUCGUAGAUAUUGGGAGGAACAUCGGAGGCGAAGGCGGCCAUCUGGGAAGUGACUGACGCUGAGGCGCGAAAGCGUGGGUAGCAAACAGG